rnacentral:rRNA from 1 species
GAUGAACGCUGGCGGCGUGCCUAAUACAUGCGAGUCGAGCGAACAGACGAGGAGCUUGCUCCUCUGACGUUAGCGGCGGACGGGUGAGUAACACGUGGAUAACCUACCUAUAAGACUGGGAUAACUUCGGGAAACCGGAGCUAAUACCGGAUAAUAUAUUGAACCGCAUGGUUCAAUAGUGAAAGACGGUUUUGCUGUUACUUAUAGAUGGAUCCGCGCCGCAUUAGCUAGUUGGUAAGGUAACGGCUUACCAAGGCAACGAUGCGUAGCCGACCUGAGAGGGUGAUCGGCCACACUGGAACUGAGACACGGUCCAGACUCCUACGGGAGGCAGCAGUAGGGAAUCUUCCGCAAUGGGCGAAAGCCUGACGGAGCAACGCCGCGUGAGUGAUGAAGGUCUUCGGAUCGUAAAACUCUGUUAUUAGGGAAGAACAAAUGUGUAAGUAACUAUGCACGUCUGGACGGUACCUAAUCAGAAAGCCACGGCUAACUACGU